rnacentral:misc_RNA from 1 species
AAACCUGCAAAUCAAAGCUACUUAAAGCAAGAGAAGAAGAAUUAAUAUAACACAAAGCUACUAAAACCAGUUGUGCUGUGAGACCAAAAUCACAACCAGCCAGUAAGACAAACUCCAUCAAUUAACAAGUAGAAACUGCUAGUGAUACAAACUAAUAUAUACUAUGAUUGGCAUCGUUUAUCAGUUAUGUGAUUCUACAAAUACCUAGAAUGCAAAACAUUCUGACAUCUUAAACCUCAUGUGAGCUUGUAACAAAACAUUCUCCAUUGCAGAUAAAAAGCAAUGCUAAACAUGGAAUAAUUAUCAGGACUCACUAGGUACUUCUUGCUGAGGAGCACGCUGUAAUUGAGUUUGAAAUGGACAAACCUGGAUCAUUCCUGGAUGAUCUCUGGUGUUAUUGCCGGGCCAAGGUGUACCAUCUUGCAUCACCCAUCCUUCAUCAGGAACCUUCUGUGCCUUUGCCACAAGCCCAUUGAUACGAACUUUAA